CUGUUGGUAUAGUGGAUACCCUGUAUCCUGGCAAUGAUGUUGUCCUGUUGUCAUAAUGGAUACCCUGUAUCCUGGUAAUGGUGUCCUCCUGUUGUUAUGGUGGAUACCCUGUAUCCUG